AACAUCGGAACGUGCCCAAUCUGGGGGAUAACGCAGCGAAAGCUGUGCUAAUACCGCAUACGAUCUACGGAUGAAAGCAGGGGAUCGCAAGACCUUGCGCGAAUGGAGCGGCCGAUGGCAGAUUAGGUAGUUGGUGAGGUAAAGGCUCACCAAGCCUUCGAUCUGUAGCUGGUCUGAGAGGACGACCAGCCACACUGGGACUGAGACACGGCCCAGACUCCUACGGGAGGCAGCAGGU
rnacentral:rRNA from 1 species